AUAGGGCUCAUUGUAUCAUGUUUACAUAUCAAGUUAUAUUCUUCUCCCGUGCUUUCUCACAAAAAUGUUAGGCAAUAGAACCCCUGUCAAUCACUCCUGCACAAAGCCACUCAUGCGCAACCAGAAUUAGGAUUCCGGCGAGCUACAGUAACUUUUCCGGCACAUGUGAGCCAUUUCGACCACUUUGUGACAACUUUUUCAGGACAACUUACUCGUCCGCUGAUUCUGAACCUACUCAUAUAAAUUUAAAUCAAAUACUGACAACUUUUAUUUUUUCCGGCAUGAACAGUGCACUUUUUUCAACGUGAACAGUGAUUUCCAGAAAAGUUUAUGUUUUCUAAUCGUGUUUUAGAACCUAUUUUGUAGUGUGAAAUUCGUCUUAGUCUCACUAUUUUCAAAUUUCUCCGGCGACUUUUCGACCGACUUCUCUUUAUCAGCAACCACCUGGUGUUGUGGCUCAGGGAGUCUAGUGGACUAGUAUGUCGCUUGCGCCAGUCGCUUUAUGGUCUAGAGCAGUCUCCUCGUGUCUGAUUUGGUAAGUUCAGCAUAGUUAUCCAAGAGUUUAGCAUGACUCGUAGUGAAGUCGAAUGAUCAGCUUGUAGAUAUUUUCACCCAAGUCCCUCGCUGGUCCUCGUAUUAGUUACAUAUGUAACAUAUGAUUUGUAUGCACUGGCUUGAGGGGGAGCGUUAGAUAAUUACGUAUAAAUAAUCCCAGUCCCAUAUAUAGUAGGGGUAAAAUAUGUCUCAGUCUCAUAUGUAGUAAGAGUAGAAUAUGUCCUAGUCCCAUAUAUAGUAGGAAUAGAAUAUGUAUUGCUAGGCUAAUUGUAUCAUUGUUAAUAAGAUAGAUUUUUCUCUCGUACAUUCUCACACACAUUAUACAACUACACAAUUAAAGAAACAUAACACGAAAGAUCCUGCCAUCAGCUUAUAUAUUGAGUGCUACAUCUCAAAAUUUUACUCCCUCAAUCCUGGUUUUACAUUAGACUCUUUUUCAUAAUACACAAUGUUUGACACACUUAACAUAUUAUCACACUUUAAAUUACCUUGAGAAAUUUAAUUAAUUACACAAAUUGGUUUUCAACCAUGAAGUGAUAUCCUCUUUAUCAAAUACUCCAGAUAUCCUUUUUGGCGAAAUACACAGGUAGCCCCUCAGAAUUGAGACGAAACAGCAGUUAGAUACUCUUUUUAUUCGGUAAAGGUACAUGCCAAUUAGAUACUUUUACUUUACACACCUCAACUAGGCAGGGAUGUGUCUCUUAGACAUCCGAAUCUGACAAAAUAAUAUGCAUGCCUCCAACUCAUUUUUGAGCGCGAGAAUUGACCAAGUUACUUUUGUUUUCUUUUUAACUUGAAUGCUAACACAAUUCAAGUUAAAAAGAAAACAAAAGUCUGCAAGACAUCGGUCAGCUUUUGAGUUACAGUUUACCUGGAUAAGAAUGUAAUAGACACAAUAACCUUCAGAAUUAUCUUUCACUAGC
rnacentral:lncRNA from 1 species